GUUGUGUUAAUGUGCUCUAAUGCAAACAAUUAUCACAAGGACAGGGCGCCUAACAUCUGACCCAAAAUGUUACGGAAUUGUUCUCGCAGCUGCUUUCUUAUUUCCAGCCCCAGCCUGGAUGAGGCACACUGGGGGAGGAGACCCUCCCCAGUAAUGGGAGUGUGAGAUAGGAGACUGGAAAUCAGCACCAGGGAAUUAAGGCUGGGGAUUUUGGAAAGCUGCGUGUGACACUGUCAGGGCAGCUUGUGAAUAGGUGAGUGAAGUAAGCAGAAAAUGCAGCAAACUGAGUGGUUACAGACUGACAAGAGGGUGUCUCACUGUUCUUGCUUGUCUGCUAUGCUACAGAGAGGCCUGAGCUGGAGAUUAGCCAUUUAUCAGCUGCAUGGUGGAAUGAGAAACAGCUGCAACGUAUUUUGGGGCAGCAUCACCAGGGACCAGAGGCUCUCCGCAGGUGCCCAGGCACCCCGCUCCCCUGGCCUUCCCCUGGCACCUGGCAGCGCUGCCUGCCGCACAGCUGGCACAUGCACCACAAGAGGGAGGUAGUCAUCGUAAAAUGGAUGGCAGUGGCUGGCUUCUGAUCCUCCGCGC